rnacentral:lncRNA from 1 species
AGCCAACCUCACCUGUGCCGUUGUUUCUGGGCAAAUGCACAGAAAAUAUAGAAAUCCGCUGUCUGUGGGGUUUCUAGCAGUAAAUUUUCAGUCAUCUCAAGUGUGGGAACGAAUGUUCAGAUUUCGGCGGAGACUGUCCAGACUUCUUCCUCGUAUCAUACAAGUAAUUCAAUUCAAUGAUUCUCUCUCUCCCUCAUUUUUUUUAAAAUUAUUAUUAUUAUUCAACGCUAUCAACGUAGCUCCCCUGCCUAGUCCCAGUGGGAGUUAGGAGUUUACCGACCACGUUCUAAAAAUACGAAAAUGUAAACAUGAGAAGUCACGUAGCCUUACAUCCAGAAUUUACACCGAAAGAGGAGAGGUACGAAAGCAAUUAAAAGUAGGCCUGGGCGU